AAUUUUUAAUUAGAAGUGAAAUAUUAAACGAUUUUAAAUAUAUCUAGUUUUUUUAGAAUUGAAUUAAAUUCAGCUUUAAAAUUUUUUGAAAUAAAUUAAAUAAAUUUAUUUAUGAAUUAAAUAUUUUAAAGUAAAUAUAUUCGGGAUAAAUUGAUUAUAUGAGUUAUAAAUUAAUUUUAAUUUAUUUUAAAAGUAAUUAUAAAAUUAUAUUUCUUUUUAAAAAAUGUUUUAAUUUAUAUUUUUAAAUUUAUAUAGUAUAAUUUAAUUUUUAUUUUAAUAAUUUAUAAAAAUUUAAUAUUAAAUUAUUUUAUUUUAAAUAUAAUGAUUAUAUAAGUAAAUAUUAAUAAAAUGAAAUAAAUAAUUAUAAAAUUUUAAAAUUUAGAUUUAAGGAAUUAGGCAAAUAUUUUUAAAAUAAAAUUUAUAUUUACCUGUUUAUCAAAAACAUGUCUUAUUGAUUUAAAUAAUAAGUUUAUUCUGCCCAUUGAAAUAGAAAUUUUAAAAGGCUGCAGUAUAUUAACUGUACAAAGGUAGCAAAAUAAAUAGUUUUUUAAUUGAAAACUUGAAUGAAAGAAUUAAUAAAAUAUAUUCUGUCUCAAAUUUAAUUGAUUUAUUAAAUUUAAAUAAAAAGUUAAAAUGCUUUUAUAAUUUUAUUAGACGAUAAGACCCUAAGAAUUUAAUAAUUUUAUUUUAUUAAUUAAAUUUUAUAAUUAAUUAAUUAAUAAAAUAAAAUUUUUUUAUUGGGAGGGUAAUUAAAUUUUUAAACUUUAAUUUUUAAUAAA
rnacentral:rRNA from 1 species